CCAGCUCCAAGAGUGUAUAUUAAAGUUGUUGCAGUUAAAAAGCUCGUAGUUGAACUUCUGGCUGUUGCGGUUCAUGGCUUCGGUCGGGAUCGUAGCGGUCAUCCGCUUGGGAAUUCCGUUCGAACUUCACUGUUCGGCGGAGGGAACAGGCAUUUUACUUUGAAAAAAUUAGAGUGUUCAAGGCAGGCUAUCGCCCUGAAUACACAAGCAUGGAAUAAUGAAAUAGGACUAGUUCCAUUUUAUUGGUUAUUGGAAUUAGUAAUGAUUAAUAGGGACAGUUGGGGGCAUUAGUAUUUAAUUGUCAGAGGUGAAAUUCUUGGAUUUAUUAAAGACUAACUUAUGCGAAAGCAUUUGCCAAGGAUGUCUUCAUUAAUCAAGAACGAAAGUUAGGGGAUCAAAGACGAUCAGAUACCGUCCUAGUCUUAACUAUAAACUAUACCGACUAGGGAUUGGCCGGGAUUUUUUAACCCGGUCAGCACCUUAUGAGAAAUCAAAGUCUAUGGGUUCUGGGGGGAGCAUGGUCGCAAGGCUGAAACUUAAAGGAAUUGACGGAAGGGCACCACCAGGAGUGGAGCCUGCGGCUUAAUUCGACUCAAC
rnacentral:rRNA from 1 species